UUGGGAUUCUGCUGUGAAGAGAGUCCAGCGACGGCCGGAGCCCCACCGCGUCCUCGAAGAAGUCACCUCCAGACGGCAAGAAAGAGAGGAGAGACUCUGCCGACUCGAGGUCCUCCACCACCUCGGCUGUCUCCUCCUCUUCCUCCCCGCAGAAGAGACCGUCAGGGGAGAGGAGAGCCUCUGUGGGCAGCAGCCCCUUGCCAGCUUCCACCGGCUCCCGGAGAAACUCCAGUGACAGCAAGGAGGAAAGGUAGGAG